AGUAGGCUUCAUGCCCAGCAUGGAGUCCAAUGCGGAACUUGAACUCAUGACCCUGAGAUCAAGACCUGAGUUGAGAUCAAGAGUAGGCCACUUAAGCGACUGAGCCACCCAGGUGUCCCGUGAAUGCUAGUAUUUUAACACAGGCUUCCACCAUUCUGAGCCCAAUAUUCAAGGUCUCCAGUCUGCCAACAGUGGAGACUCCAAUCUGUCAAUGGAUCCCAACGUUCUAGAACCCCAGCCUGCCAACGUUGAACUUGCUCGGGUCCCUCAGUCUACAAACCAACACACCAGCAAGAAAGCAAGAUGAUCUCAACAUCCUAGGACUCCACAUCCCAGCAUCCUAGAACUCAGAGCCCAUCCUCUGAGCCCUCCAGGCUGAAGGAGGUGUCAGCCACGCGUAGCACCAGCCAGGUGCCCAACUUGAGCCUUCCCUGGUUGCGCCCAGCCAUCACACCACCAGACGAGAAUGUCACGGUCAAGGGCUGAAAGGUUCACCUGAAGCAGUAGUUGGUGUCCAGGGCUCGGCGGUGCCGCGAGCUGUGCAGGUGCUGGGCCCUCUCCAGUGGGGUGGCCAUGAGGAGCAGAAAAGGCCGGUUCAUGCCAUGAAUGGUGGCCAGGUCACCUCGGCGGCUGGAACUGAACCCUGCUUUGGUUUGGAGUUGUAGGGUGUGGGGGAGACAUAGACACACACUCUCAGAUGGAUGAAUGGGGGCAGGGGCAGGGGGAAGAGGACACAAGUGCACACACAUGCGCACACACGCGGGCAUGGGGCUGGGCCAGGGAGAUGGGCCUCACCGUUGAUGUCCACUUGCAGUGUGUUAUCUUUGCUGUCACAGGAACAGUGGGCACUGAGGCGAAAGCCCUCUACUUCCCCUGUGGGAGUGGGGAGUGGGAAGCCAGUGUGAGAUGCCAGGUGCUGUUCACACCCCCACCGUGGGUGGAGCAAACCCAGGGUGGAGGGGGUGUUGGGGCUCCCCCUGUCUCUUCCCCUGCCUGCCCUCUCCCUGCAUCCUCCUGCUCUUGGCCUUGCUUCCUCCUUCUCCUCCUUCAGGUCUCAGCUCAAAUGUCACCUCCUCCAGGAGGCCCUCCUGGACACAUGCCCCACCCCCACAGUGACAUCACUUUAUUUUCUCCAUAGCACUCACCCUCCUGACAUUCGCAUUUGGCUAUUUGUUUCCCUCAUUGUUCUCAGUGGAAAGCAGGAUACAUGGGGGCAGGGAUUCCUGUUUUCUUGCUCCCCGCUGGGCCUAGCCCACAGUCUUAAAAAUAAACAUCUACUGAGUGCACGC